AAAGGGGAAGCGAGAGCAAGCGAAAGACUCAGUCCCCGGGCGGCGGCGGCGGCGGCGGCCGCGGGGGCGCGACGGCCGGGGCGGGGGCGCUGCUGCUGCGGGGGCAGGCGGCGGCAGGGGCGGCGGCGGCGGCGGCGGCCCGCUCCAGCCAUGCCGAAUAAAAACAAGAAGGAGAAAGAAUCACCAAAAGCAGGGAAGAGUGGAAAAAGUUCAAAAGAAGGACAAGACACAGUAGAAUCAGAGCAAAUUUCCGUCAGGAAAAACAGCCUUGUUGCUGUCCCGUCUACAGUAUCUGCUAAAAUAAAAGUACCAGUCUCUCAGCCCAUAGUGAAGAAAGACAAACGGCAAAAUUCUUCAAGGUUUAGCGCAAGCAAUAAUAGAGAACUUCAAAAACUACCAUCCUUAAAAGGUCCCCCCACAUUGUAGCACGUGCCAGACCCUCGCUCCCGUCGAAGGCUGAUGCCAUCCUUCAGUGAUGUGUGGACGGACACAUUCCGCGUAUCCCCCAAUCAGUGGAUGGACGCGUGGGUUGCAGAGCACGCCACACACAUUCAGUCAGUACACGAGUUAACAGUUGCGUGCUUGUCUGCCUGUGUCAUCCAUUCGAGCAUCUGCCAAGGACCCAGGAAACACACAGUGUGUCUCCUGAAGGAAUGAAAAGCCCUCCUGGCCCCUCUGCCCUCUUUCUCCACCCUCUCCAUUUUCACCGAGAUGGUUGUGGUGUCACCUCUCGUGGGGUGGCCAAAACCCCAGCCAGGGCCACCUAUCCCUUCACCUCCCUCCACCUCGGAUUUCCUCUUGGAAAAUGAGGCUCCUGACUCACUUGACCUACUGCGUAGGCUCCUAAAAGGGUGUCGGCAAGUUGGCAAGUUAAAAAAAAAAACAAUCAGCAUGAAAGCACUCCGAUGUAUGCAUACUUUUACUUCGCGUUGGUUCCCUACGUUCUUAGAACAAGGAAGGAGUGUGAGUACUUGCUUUGGAUUGAAAGGUUUUCCAGACUAGCUGUAGGAAGUAUGAAAGUAACCAAGGUCUCACACACAGCCCCAGCACUCUGGGUGGAUUUCACUUCAUCUACUCCACUCACCUACGCUGAGCUUCCCUGUGGACAAGCUCGUCCAUCCUCUUUAAUCACUCCCAGGCCUCGCUCACACAGCAACAAGUGCCUGUCCCUGUGUCCUUGCUGUUGGCAAGCAGAAGUUCCCUGGCAGCCUUUGAACAUAGCUGAAUGUUAGGUAUCUUUGAUCUGUCUAAGGAAAAAGUCUAUUUUAAACUGUGAAGUGAAGCCAAUUUUUUUAGGUCAGAUUCUUACCCAACAAAGCAUACAUCAUCCGUGCUCAUAUAGUUUCCAGUUUAAAAAAAAAAAAAAGUGCUGGCCAGCGCAGUGUGAGUGCACUGUGCACAUGAUGCCACUGUUCUCUAGGUUCAGAACACCAGCCUUCUGUUAAUUACAAUAAAAUGUCUUCACU
rnacentral:lncRNA from 1 species